rnacentral:rRNA from 1 species
GAUGAACGCUGGCGGCGUGCCUAAUACAUGCAAGUCGAGCGAACGGACGAGAAGCUUGCUUCUCUGAUGUUAGCGGCGGACGGGUGAGUAACACGUGGAUAACCUACCUAUAAGACUGGGAUAACUUCGGGAAACCGGAGCUAAUACCGGAUAAUAUUUUGAACCGCAUGGUUCAAAAGUGAAAGACGGUCUUGCUGUCACUUAUAGAUGGAUCCGCGCUGCAUUAGCUAGUUGGUAAGGUAACGGCUUACCAAGGCAACGAUGCAUAGCCGACCUGAGAGAGUGAUCGGCCGCACUGGAACUGAGACACGAUCCAGACUCCUGCGGGAGGCAGCAGUAGGGAAUCUUCCGCAAUAGGCGAAAGCCUGACAAAGCAACGCCGCGUGAGUGGUGAAAGUCUUCGGAUCGUAAAACUCUGUUAUUAGGGAAGAACAUAUGUGUAAGUAACUGUGCACAUCGUGACGGUACCUAAUCAGAAAGCCACGGCUAACUACGUG